rnacentral:lncRNA from 1 species
CUCCAGUUCUGCCUCACCUAACCGGAGCCUCUCCUGUACAGCCAGACUGUUCUCCAGCUGAUCUCAUACAAACACUCCAGACCUCCAGCAGCCCCAGGAGUCAAAACACCAGCGGCUCUACAGCUGCCUGCAGCCAUGUUGGCCCUCAGUCUGCUCGCGCUGGGUCUGCUCGCCGAAGUGGCACCUGCCAGCUGUCAACAAGGUCUAGGGAACCUUCAGCCCUGGAUGCAAGGCCUCAUUGCUGUCGCUGUGUUCUUGGUCCUUGUUGCAAUCGCCUUCGCCGUCAACCACUUCUGGUGCCAGGAAGAGCAGGAACCUGGGAGCACGAUGAUGAUCACUGGAAACAAGGCCGAUGGGGUUCUGGUGGGCAUGGAUGGCAGAUACUCUUCAAUGGCAUCU